GUUUAGACACCGCGCUUCUUGUUAAGCUCGCCGAGCAGACCAGUGAUUUUGUCGGCGGAGCUCGCUAUAUGGCGAUUUUUCUGGCAGAGCUCACGCGGGGCUUUUAGCGGUGGCGAAGCUGUCGUCGCUCUUCUCUCCGGGAGAAUCAAAUGUCCCAGCGAUUCGAGAAGCCAAUUGUUCUAUGGGUGGUUCAGGCCUAUGUUCAUGGACUUUGACUGUCUCCAAAGGUGCUCCAAAGGACUUCAGUCCUAUGUGAGAAUACAAGCCAGGGGCGGAUCCGCGGCACGGGCGCACAGCGGCACUGCGGCAGCCGGCAACAGACUGGUCGGCAGGCUGCAACCUGCAGGCGCCAUCCACGAGGCACUCAGCCACUCAGGCAUUGAGGAUUUGAGGCAGUGAUUCAGUCAUUCAGCCCAGUUCUCUCUGCAGGUGCAAAACUCUAAUCAUAUACCUGGAUUCAGUAAGAGGCAUCUAGGGGCUUGUUGAAGAGACCUGGACAGUUCCCUAUGUCUAAUGAGAAACCUGAUUUGUAUCAUGAGUAGUUAGUAUAGUACUCCUGAGUGAUCCG